rnacentral:rRNA from 1 species
GACAGAACACAGGUGCUGCAUGGCUGUCGUCAGCUCGUGUCGUGAGAUGUUGGGUUAAGUCCCGCAACAAGCGCAACCCCUACUUUUAGUUGCCAUCAGGUAAUGCUGGGCACUCUGAAAGAACUGCCAGUGAUAAGCUGGAGGAAGGUGGGGAUGACCUCAAGUCCCCAUGGCCCUUACGGGUUGGGCUACACACGUGCUACAAUGGUAGUGACAAUGAGAUGCAAGGUGGCGACGCUAAGCUAAACUCAAAAAUCUACCUCAGUUCGGAUUGGACUCUGCAACUCGAGU